rfam:Felis catus isolate Cinnamon breed Abyssinian chromosome A1, whole genome shotgun sequence.
GCCUGGGUGGCUCAGUUGGUUAAGCACCUGACUUCAGCUCAGGUCAUGAUCUCACAGUACAUGAGUUUGAGCCCCGUCUCAGGCU